rnacentral:rRNA from 1 species
CCUACGGGGCGCUGCAGUGAGGAAUAUUGGUCAAUGGGCGUAAGCCUGAACCAGCCAAGUCGCGUGAGGGAUGAAGGUUCUAUGGAUCGUAAACCUCUUUUAUAAGGGAAUAAAGUGUGGGACGUGUCCUGUUUUGUAUGUACCUUAUGAAUAAGGAUCGGCUAACUCCGUGCCAGCAGCCGCGGUAAUACGGAGGAUCCGAGCGUUAUCCGGAUUGAGUGGGUUUAAAGGGUGCGUAGGCGGCCUUUUAAGUCAGCGGGGAAAGUCUGUGGCUCAACCAUAGAAUUGCCGUUGAAACUGGGAGGCUUGGGUAUGUUGGAGGCAGGCGGAAGGCGUGGUGUAGCGGUGAAAUGCUUAGAUAUCAGGCAGAACCCCGAUGGCGAAGGCAGCCUGCCAAGCCAUGACUGACGCUGAUGCACGAAAGCGUGGGGAGCAAACAGGAUUAGAUACCCCUGUAGUC